rnacentral:rRNA from 1 species
UAAGGAAUAUUGGUCAAUGGACGCGAGUCUGAACCAGUCAUGCCGCGUGAAGGAUGAAGGUCCUCUGGAUUGUAAACUUCUUUUAUCUGGGACGAAAACGGGAUUUUUAUCUCAAUUGACGGUACCAGAGGAAUAAGCACCGGCUAACUCCGUGCCAGCAGCCGCGGUAAUACGGAGGGUGCGAGCGUUAUCCGGAUUUACUGGGUUUAAAGGGUGCGUAGGUGGGCUUAUAAGUCAGUGGUGAAAUCUCCGAGCUUAACUUGGAAACUGCCGUUGAUACUAUAGGUCUUGAAUUAUCUGGAGGUAAGCGGAAUAUGUCAUGUAGCGGUGAAAUGCUUAGAUAUGACAUAGAACACCAAUUGCGAAGGCAGCUUACUACAUAUAAAUUGACGCUGAGGCACGAAAGCGUGGGGAUCAAACA